rnacentral:pre_miRNA from 1 species
UACGAGACAUUUCAUCAUUGCAACAUUUCAUCAUUAUAGCAAUUCAUCAAUGCACAUUCUAUAAUGACGAAAUGUCUCAAUGAUGAAAUGUCUCAAUGA